rnacentral:tRNA from 1 species
GGGCUUGUGGCUCAGUUGGUAGAGCGUGGUGUUUGCAACACCACGGUUGUGUGUUCGAUUCCCACGGGGGACCA